rnacentral:rRNA from 1 species
AAUAUUGGACAAUGGGCGAAAGCCUGAUCCAGCCAUGCCGCGUGUGUGAAGAAGGUCUUCGGAUUGUAAAGCACUUUAAGUUGGGAGGAAGGGCUUUAGGUUAAUACCCUGAAGUUUUGACGUUACCAACAGAAUAAGCACCGGCUAACUCUGUGCCAGCAGCCGCGGUAAUACAGAGGGUGCAAGCGUUAAUCGGAAUUACUGGGCGUAAAGCGGGCGUAGGGUGUUUCAUAAAGUGGGUUUUGAAUCCCCCGGCUUAACCUUGGGACUGCUUUCAAUACUGGUGGGGUUAAGUAACGUAAGGGGUAGGUGGAUUUCCUGUGUUGCGGUUGAAUGCGUUGGUUUAAGGAGGAAACCCAGUGGGCAAGGCCACUUACUUGGCUUAUUCUUGCCCUGGGGUGCCAAAGCGUGGGAGCAAAC